UCCAAGCUCCUCACCCUAAAGCAUUUAGAGU
rnacentral:piRNA from 1 species